UACGAAGGGGGCAAGCGUUGUUCGGAUUUACUGGGCGUAAAGGGCGCGUAGGCGGCCACCGCAAGUCGACUGUGAAAUCUCCGGGCUUAACCCGGAAAGGUCAGCCGAUACUGCGGGGCUAGAGUGCAGAAGGGGCAACUGGAAUUCUCGGUGUAGCGGUGAAAUGCGUAGAUAUCGAGAGGAACACCUGCGGCGAAGGCGGGUUGCUGGGCUGACACUGACGCUGAGGCGCGAAAGCUAGGGGAGCGAACGGG
rnacentral:rRNA from 1 species